GGCCUGGUGGUCUAGUAGUAUGAUUCCUUGUUAGGGUUGGCACCAUAUUCGAGGAGGUCCCGGGUUCAAUUCCCGGCCAGGCCC